rnacentral:rRNA from 1 species
UACGGAGGGUGCAAGCGUUAAUCGGAAUUACUGGGCGUAAAGGGUGCGUAGGUGGUUUGGUAAGUUAUCUGUAAAAUCCCCGGGCUCAACCUGGGCAGGUCAGAUAAUACUGCUGAACUCGAGUAUGGGAGAGGGUAGUGGAAUUUCCGGUGUAGCGGUGAAAUGCGUAGAGAUCGGAAGGAACACCAGUGGCGAAGGCGGCUACCUGGCCUAAUACUGACACUGAGGCACGAAAGCGUGGGGAGCAAACAGG